GCCCUCGUGGCGCAAUCGGAUAGCGCGUUGGACUUCUAAUCCAAAGGUUGUGGGUUCGAAUCCCACCGGGGGUG
rnacentral:tRNA from 1 species